rnacentral:rRNA from 1 species
CCUCAGUAACGGCGAGUGAAGCGGCAAGAGCUCAAAUUUGAAAGCUGGCCCCCUCGGGGUCCGCAUUGUAAUUUGCAGAGGAUGCUUCGGGAGUGGCCCCCAUCUAAGUGCCCUGGAACGGGCCGUCAUAGAGGGUGAGAAUCCCGUCUGGGAUGGGGUGCCCACGCCCGUGUGAAGCUCCUUCGACGAGUCGAGUUGUUUGGGAAUGCAGCUCUAAAUGGGUGGUAAAUUUCAUCUAAAGCUAAAUACUGGCCGGAGACCGAUAGCGCACAAGUAGAGUGAUCGAAAGAUGAAAAGCACUUUGAAAAGAGAGUUAAACAGCACGUGAAAUUGUUGAAAGGGAAGCGCUUGCGACCAGACUCGCCCACGGGGUUCAGCCGGCAUUCGUGCCGGUGUACUUCCCCGCGGGCGGGCCAGCGUCGGUUUGGGCGGCCGGUCAAAGGCCCUCGGAAUGUAACGCCCCCCGGGGCGUCUUAUAGCCGAGGGUGCCAUGCGGCCAGCCCGGACCGAGGAACGCGCUUCGGCUCGGACGCUGGCAUAAUGGUCGUAAGCGACCCGUCUUGAAACACGGACCAAGGAGUCUAACAUCUACGCGAGUGUUCGGGUGUCAAACCCGUGCGCGCAGUGAAAGCGAACGGAGGUGGGAACCCCUCGGGGCGCACCAUCGACCGAUCCUGAUGUCUUCGGAUGGAUUUGAGUAAGAGCGUAGCUGUUGGGACCCGAAAGAUGGUGAACUAUGCCUGAAUAGGG